GGCAACAUCUUCGGUUGUUUUUCAAGAAUUCCGCAUACAGUAACACGUUCGUAUGAAGGUGUGGUAAUUCACAGGCAAAUUGUUAUAUUCUGUGGAGGUACAUUUGUGUGUUUUUGUCGAGAGCAAAACCUUUUUUAUUUUCAAUCAAAAAAUAAUUGUUCUGAAAGCAACUUUUUUGCAACACAAAAGAAGUCAUAGCGGACACCUACGAAAAAGGACUGUGUGAGGAUGACAUCUCAGGUUAGCAGCACUGGGCUGUAUUGACGUAUCCUGAACAUGACAUCUGCUACUUUCAGAGAGCUGAUCAAGGGUUCGAAAAUGUAGAUAUUGCCAGAUGAUUUACUGCUGGCAAAAGUGUCCAUAACCAGAGGACCUGAGCCCUAGGACCAUGCCCCAGGACUACCUGACAUGAUGACUCCUUGCUGUCCCCAGUCCACCUGGCCAUGCUGCUGCUCCAGUUUCAACUGACCUGAGCCCUAGGACCAUGCCCCAGGACUACCUGACAUGAUGACUCCUUGCUGUCCCCAGUCCACCUGGCCAUGCUGCUGCUCCAGUUUCAACUGUUCUGCCUUACUAUUAUUCGACCAUGCUGGUCAUUUAUAAACAUUUGAACAUCUUGGGCAUGUUCUGUUAUAAUCUCCACCCGGCACAGCCAGAAGAGGACUGGCCACCCCACAUAUGCUCUCUCUAAUUCUCUCUUUCUUUCUCUCUCUCGGAGGACCUGAGCCCUAGGACCGUGCCCCAGGACUACCUGACAUGAUGACUCCUUGCUGUCCCCAGUCCACCUGACUGUGCUGCUGCUCCAGUUUCAACUGUUCUGCCUUAUUAUUAUUCGACCAUGCUGGUCAUUUAUGAACAUUUGAACAUCUUGGCCAUGUUCUGUUAUAAUCUCCACCCAGCACAGCCAGAAGAGGACUGGCCACCCCACAUAGCCUGGUUCCUCUCUAGGUUUCUUCCUAGGUUUUGGCCUUUCUAGGGAGUUUUUCCUAGCCACCGUGCUUCUACACCUGCAUUGCUUGCUGUUUGGGGUUUUAGGCUGGGUUUCUGUACAGCACUUUGAGAUAUCAGCUGAUGUACGAAGGGCUAUAUAAAUACAUUUGAUUUGAUUUGAUUUAAUUCAUUAAUCAUAUGCUGUCUGCCUCUGUUCUUACCUCUUUCCCUUUCUGUCGUCUACACCUCUCUCCCCACCUGGUCCUUUGUUUAAUAAUGCACGCCAAAUGUGCAUUGAAGUACAGAUUGAACUUGCAUUUAUAUUACAAUCAUCAUAAUAUUAAUGCAUUUAUUAUGUAUUUAUAACACCUGGAUAUUGAACUUCUUUCAAUAAAGCGUUUCACAUUC